rnacentral:lncRNA from 10 species
CUGAAGGCCUUGAGCCAAUGUCUCCCACUCUUACAAGGGGCUCUGAGUACAUAGUGGGGCACAUCUGCAAUGCUCUGGAAGUUUGCCACUCUGCCUUAACCUUGACUUCCUGUUUGCAUAAGGCCUUAAGGUCACCUCCAGGUUAAUAUUCAUCUGUAGCCUGAGUGACCCCAAAAAGAUGACACUCUUCUGUCCACCAAAACCUUCCAGAGGCUUCCUGUGCUCACUUGAAGUAAAAUCCAAAGUGCUGACUGUGGUUACCAGCUCCCCGGGCUGGCCUGCUGCGGGACGGCUUCUCCACCAGCCUCCCGUUCAAGGCCUCCAUUUCUGCCACUGCGGCGUCUGCAUGGUUCCUGAGCAUCCCAAGCACAUUCCCACCUCAAGGCCUUGGUGCUUGCAGUUCAUCUGCUUCUCUCCUGGUCUAUGCCUGGCUGGUUCUUAUUUCUUUUGAAUUCGGACGAGGUGCACCUCAUGAGAGAGGCCUUCCUUGACCUCCCUCCUCCAUUCCUCUCACAGGCCCCAUCUGACAUGCUUGCCCUCCCCCUCCCCUACCCCCAUCCCCUUGUGAGCCCCAUGAGAGAAGGGCCUCUGUCCUUAGGUAGAUGUGAUUCCCCAGAACCCAGGACAGGACAGCCACACAGGAGGAAACUGACACACUUUUCUUAAAUGAUGGAAUAAAGUACUGACUGUGUUUCAAGCACUGAUGUGGUUUGGCUCUGUGUCUCCACCCAAAUCUCAUCUCCAGUUGUAAUCCC